rnacentral:rRNA from 1 species
CAGUCGCCGCGGGAAUACGGAGGGGGCUAGCGUUGUUCGGAAUUACUGGGCGUAAAGCGUACGUAGGCGGUUUUGUAAGUUAGAGGUGAAAGCCCGGAGCUCAACUCCGGAAUUGCCUUUAAGACUGCAUCACUUGAAUCGUGGAGAGGUGAGUGGAAUUCCGAGUGUAGAGGUGAAAUUCGUAGAUAUUCGGAAGAACACCAGUGGCGAAGGCGGCUCACUGGACACGUAUUGACGCUGAGGUACGAAAGCGUGGGGAGCAAACAGGAUUAGAUACCCCCGUAGUCCCUGUCUCUUAUAC